AAUAUUAACAAAAUCCGUAAACGUCCGAACAGCUUUCAUUGCGAGAACUCUCGAGAAUUAGAUGAGACCAACACGCGAGAGGUGAAAAUCGAGAGAAAUAUUCAACUUGAAAAAAGAGGUAAAACUUUAUAUUUUCUCGAUUUGCAAGGUUUUUAAAUUGCAUAAAGUUGAAAAACAAACGUUUCUUUACAUGAAAAGUGAAAGUAUGUAUGAAGUUUCUCGUUCUGUCACGUGCUAUUGUACAUGAAAGUGUCAAAACUGCACCUCUCGAUUUUGUAAACAUUUUUCCACGUGCAAGGGAGUAGUUGUGUCGGUAAAGAUGAACACACAUACACUGGUUUAGGAAACAAAAGCACUCGUUUAAGUACAUGUUGAACAGCCUUCUCCAUAAAACGGAUAUUCUGAAGACAGUGAUGACAUGAAAGUUCAAGAUUUGCCUAUUGUGAGCAUUCAGAUACCUCGGUAAUACAGAAUGGGUCAAAAAAUGCACAAAGGUUAAUCACAUCAUGCUGCAUUGCACUGUAACAGAACAAUUUAUCUGAUGCAAGCAUCAACCAUGAGAAUAACAAAGGAGGUUAGGUCCAAAGAGAAGGCAAUGUAACAAAUGAUUGCUGAAUUCAUGAGGAUUGGGAUGAAUCUUUUCUAUUCUUAAGAAGUGUCCAAACAUCAUUUGAGGAUCCCUUCCUAAGAAAAGAAGAAUUUGCCUAUUCAGAGAGUCCAUAGUUUACAAAAUAUUAUGUAACAUAAAACUUCUGUCUUCAUAUUUUAUUCAAUUAUAAAACAGUAGUAGAAUAUGUUUAGAAAAAAGUAGGGGGCUAUAACUAUCUCUCUCUGGUACUGCAUGUCUAAUAUACAUGUAUUACGUAUUUUAAUUACACAUGUAUUUUAAAACAGAUUAUCAGUAAAAGAAAGAAACACAAUGUUAGUCUUUCAGUGGCUUUUAUUUAGGUUUUAAUAUUAUUUAAAAAAAAAUGGAACUUGAAUCUGUUUAAAUAGGAAGGAAAACAAAAAACUAGAAUUCAGUAGGUACAUGUACAUGUAUUUAGUUUUGUUUAUUAUAAGUUGUUUAAAAUUUAGGGAGCUUGUGAAGGAUAUCUAGAUAUUAUUUAAAAAUUUAUUCUUCAUAGUUAAACAAUUUAAUUUUUAUUAUAACAUAUGCUCUGUAAUUAACAACUUCAUUUGUUGUACAACAUUCCAUUGUCUGUCAACCUGUAGGAGUUCAUUUCUUGUAAAUAAAAAUGAAUACAUGAUGUUUGUUCACAUUGCCAUUUUUUUUUUAUAUACGAGUCCUGAGUUAUAAAUUUUGUACAUACCUGUAUGUACAUUUUUUGUUAAAUAAUUUAACUUUAACCAAAUAUUAAUUGAAUGUAAUUUUGUAGGUAGAUACCUUCCAGAAAUAUUUACAUCUACCAGAUACAUGUGAAAUCAAAUACUGUAUACUUGAAAAUAAGGAUAUUUAUUAAAUGGAAAUUAAGUUACACAUUCAUGUAUAGUGAAAUUAGAUAGACUGUGUUGUUGUUAUGUUUAUACUAACUCAACAUAAACAUCGAUUGGAUGUGAUCCUGAUUAAUUAAAUAAAGGAUAUGAAA